rnacentral:lncRNA from 1 species
AGUCAGCGAUACUUUGGACCAUUCCAGAUAACAAGAAAAAUAAAUAAAGCUGCAUACCAAUUGAAGUUGCCAGUAGGAAGCAAGAUCCACAAUACCUUCCACAUCUCCAAGCUGAAAAAUUUCUAUGGACCCAUUCCAGAAGCAGGAGUCCAAGUCGAUCCAGUCGUUACCAUAGAAAAUCAGCCUAUAAUCUACCCGGUUAGUAUAUUAGAUACAAGGGAUAUCUUGCAGGGAAAACAGAGGAAGAGACAAUACCUGGUACAAUGGAGCGGAGCUAUGCAGGAAGAUGCAUCGUGGGAGAGCGCGGACGUGCUGAAGGCUUCUUUUCCAUCUUUGGACCUUCAGGACAAGGUCGUUCCAGAUGGGGCGAGAGAUGAUACGUGCUGGGUGGAAUUUGACACCAUAACAGGAGACGUCGACGCCUUGUGGGAGACUACUCAAGCAACCCUAAAUUCUGAUUUGGGGAAGGACGAUGGGUCAAUGCCGUUGAACCGGCCAAACAGCCCCAGACCGAUAAGGGAGAAAUACCAA